CAUCCAGACUCCUACGGGAGGCAGCAGUGAGGAAUAUUGGUCAAUGGGCGGGAGCCUGAACCAGCCAAGUCGCGUGAAGGAAGAAGGUACUUAGUAUUGUAAACUUCUUUUGUCGGGGAACAAAGGCGGAGACGCGUCUCCGGAUGAGUGUACCCGAAGAAAAAGCAUCGGCUAACUACGUGCCAGCAGCCGCGGUAAUACGUAGGGGGCAAGCGUUAUCCGGAUUUACUGGGUGUAAAGGGAGCGUAGACGGUUAUGCAAGUCUGAAGUGAAAGCCCAAGGCUCAACCAUGGGACUGCUUUGGAACUGCGUGGCUGGAGUGCAGGAGGGGCAGGCGGAAUUCCUGGUGUAGCGGUGAAAUGCGUAGAUAUCAGGAGGAACACCGGUGGCGAAGGCGGCCUGCUGGACUGCAACUGACGUUGAGGCCCGAAAGCGUGGGGAGCAAACAGGAUUAGAUACCCCCGUACG
rnacentral:rRNA from 1 species